rnacentral:rRNA from 1 species
AGUCGAGCGCCUCCAAGCUAUGGUGAAGGCGCGGCAAACGGCUCAGUAACACGUGGCCAACCUACCCUUGGGACGGAGACAACCCCGGGAAACUGGGGCUAAUCCCCGAUAGGUGAGGAAUCCUGGAAUGGACCCUCGCCCAAAAGACGUUGAGUCCAUGCUAUUCAGCGUCGCCCAAGGAUGGAGCCGCGACCGAUCAGGUAGUUGGUGAGGCAACGGCUCACCAAGCCUAUAACCGGUACGGGCCGUGAGAGCGGGAGCCCGGAGAUGGGCACUGAGACAAGGGCCCAGGCCCUACGGGGCGCAGCAGUUGCGAAAACUCCGCAAUGCGCGAAAGCGUGACGGGGCUACCCCGAGUGCCGCCCGUUGAGGGCGGCUUUUCCACGGUGUAAGGAGCCGUGGGAAUAAGGAGAGGGCAAGACUGGUGUCAGCCGCCGCGGUAAUACCAGCUCUCCGAGUGGUGGGGACGAUUAUUGGGCUUAAAGCGUUCGUAGCCGGCUUAACAAGUCUUCCGUUAAAUCCAACGAUCUAAUCGUUGGGCUGCGGGAGAUACUGUUGGGCUAGGAGGCAGGAGAAGCCGACGGUAUUCUCGGGGUAGGGGUGAAAUCCUGUAAUCCCGGGAGGACCACCAGUGGCAAAGGCGGUCGGCUAGAACGCGCUCGACGGUGAGGGACGAAAGCUGGGGGAGCGAACCGGAUUAGAAACCCGGGUAGUCCCAGCUGUAAACGAUGCGGGCUAGGUGU